rnacentral:rRNA from 1 species
GACGAACGCUGGCGGCGUGCCUAAUACAUGCAAGUAGAACGCUGAAGGAGGAGCUUGCUUCUCUGGAUGAGUUGCGAACGGGUGAGUAACGCGUAGGUAACCUGCCUGGUAGCGGGGGAUAACUAUUGGAAACGAUAGCUAAUACCGCAUAAUAGUAGAUGUUGCAUGACAUUUGCUUAAAAGGUGCAAUUGCAUCACUACCAGAUGGACCUGCGUUGUAUUAGCUAGUUGGUGGGGUAACGGCUCACCAAGGCGACGAUACAUAGCCGACCUGAGAGGGUGAUCGGCCACACUGGGACUGAGACACGGCCCAGACUCCUACGGGAGGCAGCAGUAGGGAAUCUUCGGCAAUGGACGGAAGUCUGACCGAGCAACGCCGCGGGAGGGAAGAAGGUUUUCGGAUCGUAAAGCUCUGUUGUAAGAGAAGAACGAGUGUGAGAGUGGAAAGUUCACACUGUGACGGUAUCUUACCAGAAAGGGACGGCUAACUACGUG